UGGAGUAUCUUCAAUCUCGGC
rnacentral:siRNA from 1 species